AUCUGAUUGUUAGUGGGUCUCGUGCUCCCACUCCUGUAACCCCUGCAAGCCUAACAUCAGGUCAGACUGUUGGGAAGCAGAGUAACCCUGGUAGUACCAUCUCUACUUCCCAAACAUCUAUGAAACCAACAUCAGCACAAACAAUGUUAUGGAUGUUGACAGUUGUGACUGGUUGUGGAGUAGCUCUGGGUGUCAUCAUACUACUAUCAGCAGUUCUCAGGAAGCAGAAAAAAGCUGUCUGACACAUAUCACCUUUACUCCACCGUCUCUGAGGAGCCAGCUACAUUGGUCCUGGGAGGCAUGGCGUACAGCACCGUGACGGCACACUGACACACAGACAUCUUUUCCUGCACAAAAAAAGAUGAAGCCUAAAGAACUGUUGGAAGUGUAAAACUUUUGUUUAGAGUUGACCAGCGUAAGACAGUAGGCCACAAUAGUGUAAUGUUAGAC